UACGGAGGCCCCAAGCGUUGUUCGGAUUUAUUGGGCGUAAAGGGUGCGUAGGCGGCAUCUUAAGUCUGGUGUGAAAGGCGCGGGCUCAACCUGCGGACUGCAUUGGAUACUGGGAUGCUGGAGGACUGGAGAGGAGGAAUGGAAUUCACGGUGGAGCAGUGAAAUGCGUAGAUAUCGUGAGGAAGGCCAGUGGCGAAGGCGAUUCUCUGGACAGUACCUGACGCUGAGGCACGAAAGCGUGGGGAGCAAACAGG
rnacentral:rRNA from 1 species